AGUGAACGCUGGCGGUAGGCCUAACACAUGCAAGUCGAACGGCAGCACAGUAAGAGCUUGCUCUUACGGGUGGCGAGUGGCGGACGGGUGAGGAAUACAUCGGAAUCUACUUUUUCGUGGGGGAUAACGUAGGGAAACUUACGCUAAUACCGCAUACGACCUACGGGUGAAAGCAGGGGAUCUUCGGACCUUGCGCGAUUGAAUGAGCCGAUGUCGGAUUAGCUAGUUGGCGGGGUAAAGGCCCACCAAGGCGACGAUCCGUAGCUGGUCUGAGAGGAUGAUCAGCCACACUGGAACUGAGACACGGUCCAGACUCCUACGGGAGGCAGCAGUGGGGAAUAUUGGACAAUGGGCGCAAGCCUGAUCCAGCCAUACCGCAUGGGUGAAGAAGGCCUUCGGGUUGUAAAGCCCUUUUGUUGGGAAAGAAAAGCAGCAGGUUAAUACCCCGCUGCUCUGACGGUACCCAAAGAAUAAGCACCGGCUAACUUCGUG
rnacentral:rRNA from 1 species